AUACCGGUUUUUCUUGAAACCAUAUUAUAUAUACGGAGCAAAUAUUU
rfam:Eubacterium ruminantium strain ATCC 17233 genome assembly, contig: EI46DRAFT_scaffold00015.15